rnacentral:rRNA from 1 species
AGUAGUUUGAUCAGUGGCUCGAGGACGAACGCUGGCGGUGUGCUUCACACAUGCAAGUCGAACGAGGUAGCAAUACCUAGUGGCGGACGGGUGAGUAACGCGUGGGAAUCUGCCUUUAGAUGGGGGAUAACGGGUCGAAAGACUCGCUAAUACCGCAUAUGACGAAAGUUGAAAGGAGUAAUCCGUCUAAAGAUGAGCCCGCGUCCGAUUAGCUAGUUGGUAGAGUAAAAGCCUACCAAGGCGACGAUCGGUAGCUGGUCUGAGAGGAUGAUCAGCCACAAUGGGACUGAGACACGGCCCAUACUCCUACGGGAGGCAGCAGUGGGAAUUUUACGCAAUGGGCGAAAGCCUGACGUAGCGACACCGCGUGAGCGAAGAAGCCCCUUGGGGUGUAAAGCUCUGUCAGCUGGAACGAAAAAAUGACGGUACCAGCAGAGGAAGCAUCGGCUAACUACGUG